GAAGUAUGAUAUUCUAUGAAAAGCUGCUAACUUUUUAAUAUAAUGGUUAAAUUCCAUUUAUACUUCU
rnacentral:tRNA from 1 species